rnacentral:lncRNA from 1 species
CUGCCUACAUAUAUUGUUUGGAUGGAGCUCUAACAUCAGAGCAGGUUUCCAGAGUUACAAUAACAGAAAGGAAUGCAUUAGGAUAAUUAGUGUCGUCUCUAGUUCCCCCGGGUUGGGCCCCCUCAGCGGGGAAGGCCCUCUCCAAAUGAAUGAAAAGAAACCAAUUCAAAUCAAGCUGCAUAGGUUAUCAGAUGAAAAUAACACAUAUCCCCAUUAAAAUCAAUAGUGAUUGCAUUAUCACAGAGGGUAUUUUCUCUGAUCUGAUGCAGCGCGAGGCACAACAAGCUAUGUAUAAAUAGGGCAUGUUUGCCCUGCCGACUACGCCAGUUAUUCUGACGGGGGAAAUGUACUCUACAUACUUGUGUUUCUUGCUUUUAGAAAUACCUCUCUUGAACAGAUCUAAUCAUGUAAGACAGGAGUUUACACCUGCAGUUGCAUUUGCUCCAUGUGAAUAUAAGACAUGGCAGAUAAUGUUUGUACAAUGUGAGCUGUGCUGUAUCCCACAACCUAUUAGGGCCCGGGGCAAUACUCGUUAGUAUCAUGGCAAGAAAACAAAACAAAAAGUGGAUUUAACUUCUUUAGGAAAACAGCCCUAAUGUUGGAAACAUCAUAAUGUUGUCAUCCAGAGUCACAUGUAUUUAUUUUCCAAGCUAUAGCACACAGUAUUUUAUAUAGAGCAGGUUUUUAAAGGACCAAAGAGUCUGUGUCAUGUUUUCAUUACUGCCACGGAAAAAAUAUUGCGAUACUGGUUUUGUUCCGGCCCUACUACCUAUGGAUCCAUUCGUUGACUCACUUCAAAUGGCUUCUAAGAGGUUCUAAUACGGUGCUUUUCUAUGUCCAAUAGUUUACAGUUGUUUUGACUCAUUCUGGAUGGUCCACUGUUAACUCAUGUCUAUGGAAAUAAAAUGAAUGUAAUAACAGAUUGAAAUGUAAAAAUAGUAAUAAUAACCUCUUCUACUGAGGAACAGCUUGUGAACCAUCAGAAAAUCAUCUAAAACAACAAUCACCGUUUCAAGAAUCAAAAGGAGACAUUUUUCAAAUUAAAUGAGGAUUUUGUGAGGGAAUGGUUUAUCAAAAGAGUAAAUCCAUUUUUAAAUGAAUGUCUUUUUGGUUUCACUAACUGUUCAUUAGCGAGUGUUGAGAAGUAUGUAAUAGGAACAUUUUCCAUCUCUGAACAAUAUUCUUCAAUUAGACCUUUGGAAUACUUGUACCGCAUGUAAGCUGUGUUCUUGACACGCAUUUCUGCACACAUGCCAGAAGUAACACAACCAAUGCCAGUCUUUCCAACACUGGCUCAAAAAACAAGAAUUCUGAGCGCUUAUCUUUAUUAAAAGCUGUAUAUCUGAAAUGGGGACAUUUGCACGACAGACUGCUACAGACUGUUAUGUAGCCUGUGCGUUGUUGUUGCCGUGAAACCUGGAUCGAGCGCACUUCCAGGCGCAGAUUGAUAAAGCAAUCUGCAUAUUUUACACAUAAACAGGAAGCAAAUGUUUGGUGGGAAUUGUAGGGCACUGCAUCUACACCUAGAAGAAGCCAUACACAACAUGACCCAUUCUGUAAGGCUGAGAAGCAAACUGAGAAGAGUGGAAGAUGCUGAAUAUAUCACGGCCAGAGCUUUAAAACUUGCCUCAAAGUGCUUCUAAAGUUACGUUUUUUUCUCUCGUUUUUAUUUUAGAUUUUUGAGUCAUAUAAUUUGAUGUACAGACCAGAUGGCAUGGGAAAUGGACAUUCUCAGUGUAAUAAAUGGAAUCAUCUCAACAAACUACGAGUUCGGAGUGAAUCCUCACUUUAAGAUGCAGCAUUCAGAACAGCAUUCAGAACAGUCGUUUAGCCGAGGUCAGGUGUUGUUCGGCUAAAUGAGGUCAGGUGUUGUUCAGCUAAACGAGGUCAGGUGUUGUUCGGCUGAAUGAGGUCAGGUGUUGUUCAGCUAAACGAGGUCAGGUGUUGUUCGGCUGAAUGAGGUCAGGUGUUGUUCAGCUAAACGAGGUCAGGCGUUGUUCGGCUGAAC